GCGCUCUUAGCUCAGUUGGUUAGAGCGUACGCUUCACACGCGUAAGGUCGCAGGUCCGAUUCCUGCAGAGCGCACCG
rnacentral:tRNA from 1 species